CAGGGCCCCCACAUGCUGCUGGCCACCUUGUCUGCUCUGAGAAGAGGGAAGGGAGGAGGCCCGCUCCUUCAGCCUGAAUGUCAGGGAGUCCCUGACACCAUGCAGUGGCACCUACAGGGGAGCCAGAAGCUGCACGGGCUUGCUAAUUUGACAGAAAAGCCUUGUCAGGAGGCUUAUUGCACACUUCUUCAUGGGUCGCGGCUUUUCCAGAAAUUCAACAUGAAAUUUCUCAUCGCCGCAUUCCAUCUGGAGUGUAAUAAAUACCACUUCUCACCUAACACACUAAGGGCAGCAGUUUCGAGAGCCCUACGUCUCUUCCUAACAAAGAGGAUUUGACUUCUCUGUGAUGAUACUUACCCACCAGGAUCGGAUAAAGAGUCAAGGAAAGGUUAUUUCAUCACUCAGUGGAUAGUCUGCAAGUUCAUAAUCGCCAACCUCAGGGACUUCAGGAGUGACACAAACACACAGCAUCUGGACAAUAGAAACGUGUUCCUGUCCUUGGAGCUGGUCUCAGAGGACCCGUCGUCCUGUCCAGACGAUGGAGGAUUCUGGAUCCCUCAGAGUCCAUCCACAGAAGAGAGAAGCAUGUUUCUAGAGCUGAGAAGGGGGAUUAGGAGUCCACUGGGAAGUUCUAGCUUUCUGAGACUAAACAAAUAUGAGUUUUGGAGCAAGAGAUUCAAAUAAAUGAGAGUUUAUAUAUCAGGUUUUGUUUUCAAUGAUGGCAGAGGCCCCCGAAUGACACAGUGGCUCAGAGAGAGGAGACUUUGCUCUGUGGAGACCAUGUUCCCCUAAAACAUAAGCACUGGGAUCGUGGCACCCUUCAAGCAGCUUCAUCCCAGGGGCGAUCUCACCUCACGUGGGGCAUUCCCUGUGGUCAGGGGUCCUGGAGGCCCCGGGGCUCUUCACACGGGGCUGGGAGACCCAGAGCUGCCGCCUGCAGCCUCACCUGGCUCCCCGUUGUGUGCAACGAGAG